ACCUCCGGACUGGGGUUCGCAAGCUUCACGGCGAACGUACCUCGGGAAGUUGGUUAAACCUCACUAUUUAGAGGAAGGUGAAGUCGUAGCAAGGUCUCCGUAGGUGAACCUGCAGAAGGAUC
rnacentral:rRNA from 1 species